rnacentral:rRNA from 1 species
AGAGUUUGAUCCUGGCUCAGAGUGAACGCUGGCGGCAGGCCUAACACAUGCAAGUCGAACGGCAGCACAGUAAGAGCUUGCUCUUAUGGGUGGCGAGUGGCGGACGGGUGAGGAAUACAUCGGAAUCUACUCUUUCGUGGGGGAUAACGUAGGGAAACUUACGCUAAUACCGCAUACGACCUACGGGUGAAAGCGGAGGACCUUCGGGCUUCGCGCGAUUGAAUGAGCCGAUGUCGGAUUAGCUAGUUGGCGGGGGUAAAGGCCCACCAAGGCGGACGGUCCGUAGCUGGUCUGAGAGGAAUGAUCAGCCACACUGGAACUGAGACACGGUCCAGACUCCUACGGGAGGCAGCAGUGGGGAAAUAUUGGACAAUGGGCGCAAGCCCUGAUCCAGCCAUGCCGCGUGGGUGAAGAAGGCCUUCGGGUUGUAAAGCCCUUUUGUUGGGAAAGAAAAGCAGUCGGUUAUACCCCGAUUGUUCUGACGGUACCCAAAGAAAUAA